UACGUAGGGGGCAAGCGUUGUCCGGAAUCAUUGGGCGUAAAGCGCGUGUAGGCGGCUCGAUAAGUCUGCUGUGAAAGUCCAAGGCUCAACCUUGGGGUGCCGGUGGAUACUGUCGAGCUCGAGUCCGGAAGAGGAGUGUGGAAUUCCUGGUGUAGCGGUGAAAUGCGCAGAUAUCAGGAGGAACACCGGUGGCGAAGGCGGUUCUCUGGGCCUUACCUGACGCUGAGGAGCGAAAGCGUGGGGAGCAAACAGG
rnacentral:rRNA from 1 species